AGUGAACGCUGGCGGCAGGCCUAACACAUGCCAGUCGAACGACCGCACAGUAAGAGUUUGCUCUUACCGGUAGCGACUGGCGGGCGGGUGACGCAUACAUCGGCUUCUUAUUUUUCUUGGAGGAUAACGUAGAGACACUUACGCUACCACAGCAUAUGUUCUACCGGUGAAAGCAAUGGAUCUUCGCGCCUUGCGCGUCUCAAUGAGCCGAAGUCGGAUUAGCUAGUUGGCGAGGUAAAGGCCUACCAAGGCGACGAUACGUAGCCGACCUGAGAGGAUGAUCGGCCACACUGGAACUGAGACACGGUCCAGACUCCUACGGGAGGCAGCAGUAGGGAAUCUUGCGCAAUGGGCGAAAGCCUGACCCAGCCACGCCGCGUGAGUGAAGAAGGCCUUCGGAUCGUAAAGCCCUGUUGUUGGGAAAGAAAAGCUGCAUGAUAAACCCCCGCUGUCUUGACGGUACCCAAAGAGAAAGCACCGGCUAACUUCGUG
rnacentral:rRNA from 1 species